GAGAAGGGCCGUGGCUCAAUUGUAGAACAUCUGCUUUGCAAGCAGAUGGUCUUGGGUUCAAUCCCUGGUUUCUCA